rnacentral:lncRNA from 1 species
GCGGCUGGAGGGGGAGUCGCUGCCUCACCCGCGCCUGGCGCCCGCGGCUCCCUCCGCCUCGCCGGCGUUGGCCCACCCUCUCGUAGCUCACCCCGCGAGGCUGGACAGCUCCCGGAACCCCGGAACCGGGAUCUAUUUCGGGGGCUCGGCCGCGUGGCGCCCAGGACUCUCCAGGGUCUCCCAGGAUCGCUCCCCGGAUUCGAGUCGCCCCCUCUCUCUUUCGGGAAUACCAGCUGAUGUCAGUCCGCCAGCCAAAACCAGGGAGGAGAAGCGGGAGCCGGCCCUCUGGAGUCGGGAGAAGGUCUGGGGAGUGGGGUAGAGGGGAAAGCAAAGUCCAAAUACCUUCCCUUCAGACACCUCCUGGGGCCUAGACCCCACAAACCUGUUGUGGGGAGGGCAAAAUACGAUGACUACGUUCCCAGGAAGAAGGUGCCACAGCUCUUCAGGACCACGGUUGGGAGAAAGAAGGGAGGGGUUUUAGAACCUUCAGUGUGCGACUUCAUGUGCCAGUCUUCAUCUCAGGAUCUCAAGCUCUUGGAUCAUGGGCACGGAUAACCUGUUGUCCUCCUCUAUGGUCAAGAGGCUGCUUUUGCAAAGAAUCCAGUGGGAGAGAGUCAAUGGCCUGCUUGACGUGAACUCCAAAGUCCUCCUGGCCAAGGGUCAUCCUGCCUGGAGCAGGGCAAGAGGUGACUUGACCCUUAGGAAGAGUGGCAUCUCUAAUCUUCAACUUCCACCACCACCACACACACAAAUGCAGAGCCAUCCAGGAGGAAGUAAAAAGUGCUAGGGCCUUCUACACCUUGAAAUUAUAUGUGGAGCAUCCUGCAAUAAGCAUCUCUAUGAUGCACAGUCAUUCACACCUGCUGGUCUCUCCCCCAGCUGUCUGCAAAAUGAAGAGCAGAGCACAAGAGAACAUGUGAGAAAGAGGCAGGGUCGGGGAAGCCAGAAGUCCUGGCUGGCAGGGGCUGAUCCUUCCUAACUAGAGAGAGGAGACACACUUCUUGAGAGGGCAGGGAGAUAGCAGGGAGAACUAGAGGAGCUAUAGCCAGGGAGCCAGCUAAGGGAGGGAAGACAAAGGAGUGGAGACACAACUACUCCAUCUCUCCCCAGCCUCCUCAUCUCCAGAAUGAUGGCACACCUGGGAGGGGCCUGACUACCUUUCAGGGGGAAAAAUGGUCACUGGGCCUGGUGCGGUGGCUCAUGCCUGUCAUCCCAGCACUUUGGGAGGCCAAGGUGGGUGGAUAACCUGAGGUCAGGAGUUCGAGACCAGCCAGAACAACAUGGUGAAACCCCAUCUCUACUAAAAAUACAAAAAUUUGCUGGGCGUGGUGGUGCCUGCCUGUAAUCCAGCUACUUAGGAGGCUGAGGCAGGAAAAUCGCUUGAACCCGAAAGGCAGAGGUUGCAGUGUGCCGAGAUUAUGCCACUGCACUCCAGCCUGGGCAACAAGAGUGAAACUCUGUCUGAAGGAAAAAAAAAAAAAAGCCAUUGGAGAAGACGGGGUCCUUCCAGAGAAGCUGAUCAAGUCAUAUUACUCAUCAACUGCUGGGGACCUAACAGUCACUACCAUUUAUUGAACACUUACUAUGGGCUGCAUAAUGUGCCUACUGACGCAUGUGCUGAAAGCUUUGCAUGUAUGUCUUAAAGCCACACCACUAUAACAUCAGAAUUAUCUUCUCCAUGUGUGAAAUGGGGAAACAGGAGGAGAAAGUUUACAAUCCCAGAGCUAGUAAUUGGCAGAGCCAGGAUUUAAACCCAGGAUAUCUUGAUGCUAAAGUUCAUGUCUUAACCAUUAUGAUUUAUCACCUCCUCUCACUGCAGAUCAGAAUACCAAUUUCUUACUGGGUCUGGAAAGGAGGAGAGAAGGAUAGAGAGUUUCUUCUAGGACCAAAUUGAUUCCUCCACAAAUAGGAAGAUCCCCAGACUGUGUGCACACACCCUCCUCCUCCUUCCUUCUCCAACCCUGGCUGGACCAUGACAUCACAUGGUGGAGGCUGUUUUUUAAAAAGAACUCAGGCCAGAUUUACAAGAAUGAUGCUCAGGCAGCGUGACUGUCAAGGACCGUGGCCAAGUGACCCAUAGCACACACCCAGCAGUGCUGAGAACAUAGCUAGUCCCUUAGCACCUGGGGCUGACUCAUGGUUGCUGUAGGACCCAAUGCCAGAUGCCAGGAUUGCUUUCUCCCUCCAUUCAUUAGGACUGUCCCAUGAAACCCUCCCCAGGAACCCUUCUACCCCAUCCCGGCAUGCCAGGAGCCUGGAUACUGCAUAACACAGGGUACUCAUAUUUGUUUACCAAGCCUUGAAGAUGACAGGCAAUAUGCUGAUAUGCUCAAUGCAUCAUACAAAUUGUUUUAUUUAAAACUGAACUAUUAAAUUAAGUAUCAUAGCAACUCACUUUACAGACAAGGAAACUGAAGCUCAAAGGUUAAGUAAGGGCCAGGCAUGGUGGCUCACUCCUGUAAUCCCAGCAGUUUGGGAGGCUGAGGUGGGAGGAGGAUUGCUUAAGCCCGGGAGUUUGAGACCAGCCUAGGCAAUAUAGGGAGACCCCAUCUCUACAAAAAAUUAUCUGGGCCUGGUUGUGUAUGCCUGUAGUCCCAGCUACUUGAGAGGCUGAGGUGGGAGGAUUGCUUGAGCCCAGAAGUUGAGGCUGCAGUGAGCCAUGAUCAUGCCAUUGUACUCCAGCCUGGGCAGCAAAGCAAAACCCUGUAUUGAAAACAAACAAACAGGCCGGGCACGGUGGCUCACACCUGUAAUCCCAACACUUUGGGAGGCCGAGGCAGGUGGAUCACCUGAGGUCAGGAGUUAGAGACCAGCCUGGCCAACAUGGUGAAACCCGCCUCUACUGAAAAUACAAAAAUUAGCAGGGCGUUGUGGCACAUGCCAAGGUGGGCAGAUCACCUGAGGUCAGGAGUUAGAGACCAGCCUGGCCAACAUGGUGAAACCCCAUCUCUACUAAAAAUACAAAAAUUAGCUGGGCGUGGUGGUGGGCGCCUGUAGUCCCAGCUACUCAGGAGGCUGAGGCAGGAGAAUCGCUUGAACCUGGGAGGUGGAGGUUGCAGUAAGCCAAGAUAGUGUCACUGCACUCCAGCCUGGGCGACAGACAAAAAAAAAAAAAAAAAAAAAAAA